GCAGGCGUGUUGUAACGGUAGCGAACCACGUUUACACCGUGGAAGCAGGGGUUCGACUCCCUUCGCCUGUACCA
rnacentral:tRNA from 1 species